GAUGAACGCUGGCGGCGUGCCUAAUACAUGCAAGUCGAGCGAACAGAUAAGGAGCUUGCUCCUUUGAAGUUAGCGGCGGACGGGUGAGUAACACGUGGGUAACCUACCUAUAAGACUGGGAUAACUUCGGGAAACCGGAGCUAAUACCGGAUAACAUUUAGAACCGCAUGGUUCUAAAGUGAAAGAUGGUUUUGCUAUCACUUAUAGAUGGACCCGCGCCGUAUUAGCUAGUUGGUAAGGUAACGGCUUACCAAGGCGACGAUACGUAGCCGACCUGAGAGGGUGAUCGGCCACACUGGAGCUGAGACACGGUCCAGACUCCUACGGGAGGCAGCAGUAGGGAAUCUUCCGCAAUGGGCGAAAGCCUGACGGAGCAACGCCGCGUGAGUGAUGGAGGGGUUCGGCUCGUAAAACUCUGUUAUUAGGGAAGAACAAAUGUGUAAGUAACUGUGCACAUCUUGACGGUACCUAAUCAGAAAGCCACGGCUAACUACGUG
rnacentral:rRNA from 1 species